UUUCGUAAACUGCAUUUUUGCGAUCACAACCGCAGAAACUGUAAUUUCCGCUACGGAAAUUAGAGUCACGGUCUAUGUAGUACUAAUAAUUAUAAAAGGAGACGGGAACUUCUGGGCCCAAGUUGUAAUAGGUUGAAAGAUAGCUUAAAAAAUCCGUUAUUUUUUUCUACUAAAUCAUUUAAAAAAUCAGCUCAAUUCACAAUCUGGAAGAUGAGAAAUGUAAAAAAUAAGAUAAGAUCAAAAAUAAAAUAGUGACAUGACACUGACAGCAGUCCCGGCGACCGGCGUAUGCGUUUAAAAAACUUUGUUAAUUGUUUACACGUUUGACUUUGGCUCCUUAGUUUGGAUUUAUUUGCCGGCUUAUCGAUUGGAAAUCGACAUCAUGGAUCUUUGUGUGGACUGUGGCAUAGAAAAGAAAAAGGAAAAAGCAACAACUAGUUGUAAUACCACAGGCAGACGAGUCUUGAAUGACGAAAUGAUUCUCUUAGUGAUUCGUCGAUAGCGUACACCGCAGCCUGUAAACAACAGUGACUAUAUUUGCUAAGCUUGCUGGAACAAACAUCAGCUAUUGAUCAACCAAGACAAUUUGGCCACCGUAAUGUUUGCCUCCGCUGUGGUCGCUCUGUUGCAUCACAAGUCACUCAUCUGCUUCAUACAGGCUCAUCUUGUGAACUGAGAAUUUAUAAUGCCAUAGAAGAAUGUAUUAUGCCUCAAACUAUAAAACAAGGAAGCCACAUCUGCCAUAAUUGUUGGGUGGCUGCAGACAGGGCUGCUGUCCAUAUAGUCUCAGGCCCAUCAACUUCUUCCCGAGUUCUAACUGAGCCUGCUGCUAGCCAGCCUGGAGAAGAUAGAAACAACCAACCAGAACCUACUAUUGUAUUACCAGGAUAUAUGAGAGCUGUUCCUCUUUUUAAAGUAUUAUGUUCCUGAGAAUAAUCGUGUGUGCAGGGAGGUCAGCAGUAGCCUACUUCGAGAGCUGUCGGCUUCAAAUAGCUCAUGGCUACUUCGGGGAUGCAUACAGUCUAGACAUAUUAGUCGAAAAACUUAUUUUGUUUAUGUUUUUGUUGACAGCUCUUGCAGAGGUAGAGAAGCAAUAUUGAAUGAUUAUUUCAAUUGCAUUGUAGGCAAAAGGGCUUUAGGCUUCUGCGCACAUGUUAUGUCAAUAAUAUGGUACCUUAGUCGGGCUAGGUACCAAGAAAAUAUAGUACCCCCUGCACAAUUCUUAGAUGAUAUAUUAAUUAUAAUUGAAAAUGAAUAAAAAUCAACUAAAUAAAGUGUUUUAUUUUAUCACUCUUUACCCUUGAGCCUUACUUACCUUACCCUCAUUAUUCGGCUCACUGCUGAGCUCGAGUCUACUCUCAGAAUGAGAGGGGUUAGGCCAAUAGUCCAUCAUGCUGGCCCAAAGCGUAUUGGCAGACUUCACACACACAGAGAAUUAAGAAAACUCUCUGGAAUACAGGUUUCCUCAUGGUGUUUUUCUUUCACCGUUAAGACCUUACCCUACUUACCAUGAUCUCAUCAGUCAUUUGAAUUCUAUCUUAUCAUUCAUCCAAUUCGAAAAGUAAAUUAACAAUGGUCUAAGUUUAAUAAUAAAAUCAAACACUUGAAAAAUUAGCUAUUCA
rnacentral:lncRNA from 1 species